UCCUUCUGCUCAUGAAAACCAGCCUCACCAGCAGCUCUGACACAGGAGCCCCAGACCAGGGACUCCCAGCUGUCCCACUCAGGGAUCGCACUCCACACAGACACUCACCAUGGAGACCGCACUGUGCUGGCUUCUCCUGGUGGCUGUGCUCCAAGGUGUCCAGUGUCAGGAGCAGCUGGAGGAGUCCGGCGGAGGCUUGGUCCAGCCUGGGGCGACACUGACACUCACCUGCAAAGCCUCUGGAUUUGACUUCAGUAGCAGCUACUUUGUCUGGGUCCGCCAGGCUCC